rnacentral:rRNA from 1 species
UACGGAGGAUCCGAGCGUUAUCCGGAUUUAUUGGGUUUAAAGGGUGCGUAGGUGGUUUGAUAAGUCAGCGGUGAAAGUUUGCAGCUUAACUGUAAAAAUGCCGUUGAAACUGUCGGACUUGAGUGUAAAUGAGGUAGGCGGAAUGCGUGGUGUAGCGGUGAAAUGCAUAGAUAUCACGCAGAACUCCGAUUGCGAAGGCAGCUUACUAAGCUACAACUGACACUGAAGCACGAAAGCGUGGGGAUCAAACAGGAUUAGAUACCCCUGUAGUCC